rnacentral:rRNA from 1 species
GGUGCCUUCGGGAGCGCACAGACAGGUGCUGCAUGGCUGUCGUCAGCUCGUGUUGUGAAAUGUUGGGUUAAGUCCCGUAACGAGCGCAACCCUUGUCCCUAUUUGCCAGCGAUUCGGUCGGGAACUCUAGGGAGACUGCCGGUGACAAACCGGAGGAAGGUGGGGACGACGUCAAGUCAUCAUGGCCCUUACGGGUAGGGCUACACACGUGCUACAAUGGCCGGUACAAUGGGUUGCAAAGCGGCGACGUGGAGCUAAUCUCAUAAAGCCGGUCUCAGUCCGGAUCGGAGUCUGCAACUCGACUCCGUGAAGUCGGAAUCGCUAGUAAUCGUGCAUCAGAAUGGCACGGUGAAUACGUUCCCGGGCCUUGUACACACCGCCCGUCACACCAUGGGAGUGGACUGCACCAGAAGUGGUUAGCCUAACUUCGGAGGGCGAUCACCACGGUGUGGUUCAUGACUGGGGUGAAGUCGUAACAAGGUAGCCGUAGGGGAACCUGCGGCUGGAUCACCUCCUUA